UUGCAAUGUCAUUAUUAUUAUUUUUUUCGCAUUGAAGUUGUUUGAUUUGAUUACAAAGUAAAAUUGAUUUUACACAGAGGGAAUUGGGAGUUACCUGGGAUGUGGAUUUGUAUGGCGAGUUGCUCAAAAUUGGGGGAGGAAAAGAAAGGAUGACAGCCUACUUUAACAAGACUGGUUGGCCAGAGAAAGCUCCAAAGAGCGAAGAGGAAAGAAAGCAAUUUAUUGCUUCCCUGCACAAGAGAAAGACGGAGUUGUUCAUGGCCCUUAUUGA